rnacentral:rRNA from 1 species
UACGGAAGGGGCAAGCGUUGUUCGGAUUUACUGGGCGUAAAGGGCGCGUAGGCGGUCAGCACAAGUCAGUUGUGAAAUCUCCGGGCUUAACUCAGAAAGGUCAACUGAUACUGUGCGACUAGAGUGCAGAAGGGGCAACUGGAAUUCUCGGUGUAGCGGUGAAAUGCGUAGAUAUCGAGAGGAACACCUGCGGCGAAGGCGGGUUGCUGGGCUGACACUGACGCUGAUGCGCGAAAAGCCCAGGGGGAGCGAACGGGG